AUGAACGCUAGCGAUAGGCUUAACACAUGCAAGUCGAGGGGCAGCAUGGUCUUAGCUUGCUCAGACUGAUGGCGACCGGCGCACGGGUGCGUAACGCGUAUGCAACUUGCCUCACAGAGGGGGAUAACCCGUCGAAAGACGGACUAAUACCGCGUACACUUGGGAUAGGGCAUCCUGACCCAAGGAAAUGAAAUUCGCUGUGAGAUAGGCAUGCGUCCCAUUAGCUAGUUGGUGAGGUAACGGCUCACCAAGGCGACGAUGGGUAGGGGAACUGAGAGGUUGAACCCCCACACUGGUACUGAGACACGGACCAGACUCCUACGGGAGGCAGCAGUGAGGAAUAUUGGUCAAUGGGCGAGAGCCUGAACCAGCCAAGUCGCGUGAAGGAUGACUGUCUUAUGGAUUGUAAACUUCUUUUAUACGGGAAUAACAAGAGCCACGUGUGGCUCCCUGCAUGUACCGUAUGAAUAAGCAUCGGCUAACUCCGUG
rnacentral:rRNA from 1 species